CCUANGGGGGGCAGCAGUGAGGAAUAUUGGUCAAUGGGCGCAAGCCUGAACCAGCCAUCCCGCGUGAAGGAAGAAGGCGCUAUGCGUCGUAAACUUCUUUUCCAGGGGAAGAAAACCUGAUACGUGUAUCGGCUUGCCGGUACCCUGGGAAUAAGCAUCGGCUAACUCCGUGCCAGCAGCCGCGGUAAUACGGAGGAUGCAAGCGUUAUCCGGAUUUAUUGGGUUUAAAGGGUGCGUAGGCGGACUAAUAAGUCAGUGGUGAAAACCUGCAGCUUAACUGUAGAAUUGCCAUUGAUACUGUCAGUCUUGAGUAUGGUCAAGGUAGGCGGAAUGUGUAAUGUAGCGGUGAAAUGCUUAGAUAUUACACAGAACACCGAUUGCGAAGGCAGCUUGCUGGGCCAUUACUGACGCUGAUGCACGAAAGCGUGGGGAUCGAACAGGAUUAGAUACCCUGNUANUC
rnacentral:rRNA from 1 species